UACGUAGGGUGCGAGCGUUGUCCGGAAUUACUGGGCGUAAAGAGCUCGUAGGUGGUUUGUCGCGUUGUUCGUGAAAACUCACAGCUUAACUGUGGGCGUGCGGGCGAUACGGGCAGACUGGAGUACUGCAGGGGAGACUGGAAUUCCUGGUGUAGCGGUGGAAUGCGCAGAUAUCAGGAGGAACACCGGUGGCGAAGGCGGUUCUCUGGGCAUUACCUGACGCUGAGGAGCGAAAGUGUGGGGGAGCGAACAGG
rnacentral:rRNA from 1 species